rnacentral:rRNA from 1 species
UACGUAGGGUGCGAGCGUUGUCCGGAAUUAUUGGGCGUAAAGAGCUCGUAGGCGGUGUGUCACGUCGAUCGUGAAAACUUUCAGCUUAACUGGGAGCUUGCGGUCGAUACGGGCAUCACUGGAGUUCGGCAGGGGAGACUGGAAUUCAAGGUGUAGCGGUGAAAUGCGCAGAUAUCUUGAGGAACACCGGUGGCGAAGGCGGGUCUCUGGACGACUCCUGACACUGAGGCACGAAAGCUAGGGGAGCAAACAGG